rnacentral:tRNA from 1 species
GGAGAGGUGCGAGAGCGGCCGAAUCGGGCUCACUGCUAAUGAGUUGACGGGCCUAAACCCCGUCCGAGGGUUCAAAUCCCUCCCUCUCCGCCA